GAUUGGGUUGCCUCUAGCUCCUCUGGAUCCACAAGGGAUUGCAUUCUACUUGGAGCUUGUGAAGCACAUGAGACUCUUCCACAAAGUGCUGAAUUUCCUGCAGAUGUGUUUACGUCUUGUCUCACAACACCUAUUAAGAUGGCUUUGAGAUGGAUCUUGCAGGCAAAGGACACCAAGUGAAUUAGAUAGAGAGGUUAAGAACUUGAGGGUGGCAUUUACUGACCUGUUUUUGAAGCAUAACACUUUCAAAGAAACUGCAAAGCCA